rnacentral:rRNA from 1 species
AACGAACGCUGGCGGCAUGCCUAACACAUGCAAGUCGAACGAGACCUUCGGGUCUAGUGGCGCACGGGUGCGUAACGCGUGGGAACCUGCCCUUAGGUUCGGAAUAACUCCCCGAAAGGGGUGCUAAUACCGGAUAAUGUCUUCGGACCAAAGAUUUAUCGCCUUUGGAUGGGCCCGCGUUGGAUUAGCUAGUUGGUAGGGUAAAAGCCUACCAAGGCGACGAUCCAUAGCUGGUCUGAGAGGAUGAUCAGCCACACUGGGACUGAGACACGGCCCAGACUCCUACGGGAGGCAGCAGUGGAGAAUAUUGGACAAGGGGCGAAAGUCUGAUCCAGCAAUGCCGCGUGAGUGAUGAAGGCCUUAGGGUUGUAAAGCUCUUUUACCCGGGAUGAUAAUGACAGUACCGGGAGAAUAAGCUCCGGCUAACUCCGUG